UUUGACCUGGAAAAAAAAAAACUAUUUCUGUCACACUAUUCCCACUUCAGAGCGACUCUAGCGAUGAUUUACGAAAGCAUGCAACUGUUUCCUGUACCUCAGGAAGGGCUUGGACAAAAUGGGCUAUUCCAUUAUGAUGGCUAACACAAUCCGGAGGUGUUGCUACAGGCCAGCACAAAACCCGGACAACACUGCACUUGAGUCACGAUUAAGGAACUCAAGUCGACCCAAGGGACUUUUUCAGCCUGAAAAAAGAAACAAGGACCAGGGGUCACAAAUGGAGUUUAGACAAA